CGGGAGACACACGGCGGGUGCUAACGUCCGUCGUGAAGAGGGAAACAACCCAGACCGCCAGCUAAGGUCCCAAAGUCAUGGUUAAGUGGGAAACGAUGUGGGAAGGCCCAGACAGCCAGGAUGUUGGCUUAGAAGCAGCCAUCAUUUAAAGAAAGCGUAAUAGCUCACUGGUCGAGUCGGCCUGCGCGGAAGAUGUAACGGGGCUAAACCAUGCACCGAAGCUGCGGCAGCGACGCUGAUGCGUUGUUGGGUAGGGGAGCGUUCUGUAAGCCUGCGAAGGUGGCCUGUGAGGGUUGCUGGAGGUAUCAGAAGUGCGAAUGCUGACAUAAGUAACGAUAAAGCGGGUGAAAAGCCCGCUCGCCGGAAGACCAAGGGUUCCUGUCCAACGUUAAUCGGGGCAGGGUGAGUCGACCCCUAAGGCGAGGCCGAAAGGCGUAGUCGAUGGGAAACGGGUUAAUAUUCCCGUACUUGGUGUUACUGCGAAGGGGGGACGGAGAAGGCUAUGUUGGCCGGGCGACGGUUGUCCCGGUUUAAGCGUGUAGGUGUGUGUUCCAGGUAAAUCCGGUUCACUUUAACACUGAGGCGUGAUGACGAGGCACUACGGUGCUGAAGCAACAAAUGCCCUGCUUCCAGGAAAAGCCUCUAAGCAUCAGGUAACAUCAAAUCGUACCCCAAACCGACACAGGUGGUCAGGUAGAGAAUACCAAGGCGCUUGAGAGAACUCGGGUGAAGGAACUAGGCAAAAUGGUGCCGUAACUUCGGGAGAAGGCACGCUGACACGUAGGUGAAGUGAUUUACUCAUGGAGCUGAAGUCAGUCGAAGAUACCAGCUGGCUGCAACUGUUUAUUAAAAACACAGCACUGUGCAAACACGAAAGUGGACGUAUACGGUGUGACGCCUGCCCGGUGCCGGAAGGUUAAUUGAUGGGGUCAGCGCAAGCGAAGCUCCUGAUCGAAGCCCCGGUAAACGGCGGCCGUAACUAUAACGGUCCUAAGGUAGCGAAAUUCCUUGUCGGGUAAGUUCCGACCUGCACGAAUGGCGUAAUGAUGGCCAGGCUGUCUCCACCCGAGACUCAGUGAAAUUGAACUCGCUGUGAAGAUGCAGUGUACCCGCGGCAAGACGGAAAGACCCCGUGAACCUUUACUAUAGCUUGACACUGAACAUUGAGCCUUGAUGUGUAGGAUAGGUGGGAGGCUUUGAAGUGUGGACGCCAGUCUGCAUGGAGCCGACCUUGAAAUACCACCCUUUAAUGUUUGAUGUUCUAACGUGGACCCGUGAUCCGGGUUGCGGACAGUGUCUGGUGGGUAGUUUGACUGGGGCGGUCUCCUCCUAAAGAGUAACGGAGGAGCACGAAGGUUGGCUAAUCCUGGUCGGACAUCAGGAGGUUAGUGCAAUGGCAUAAGCCAGCUUGACUGCGAGCGUGACGGCGCGAGCAGGUGCGAAAGCAGGUCAUAGUGAUCCGGUGGUUCUGAAUGGAAGGGCCAUCGCUCAACGGAUAAAAGGUACUCCGGGGAUAACAGGCUGAUACCGCCCAAGAGUUCAUAUCGACGGCGGUGUUUGGCACCUCGAUGUCGGCUCAUCACAUCCUGGGGCUGAAGUAGGUCCCAAGGGUAUGGCUGUUCGCCAUUUAAAGUGGUACGCGAGCUGGGUUUAGAACGUCGUGAGACAGUUCGGUCCCUAUCUGCCGUGGGCGCUGGAGAACUGAGGGGGGCUGCUCCUAGUACGAGAGGACCGGAGUGGACGCAUCACUGGUGUUCGGGUUGUCAUGCCAAUGGCACUGCCCGGUAGCUAAAUGCGGAAGAGAUAAGUGCUGAAAGCAUCUAAGCACGAAACUUGCCCCGAGAUGAGUUCUCCCUGAGACUUUAGGUCUCCUGAAGGAACGUUGAAGACGACGACGUUGAUAGGCCGGGUGUGUAAGCGCAGCGAUGCGUUGAGCUAACCGGUACUAAUGAACCGUGAGGCUUAACCUUACAACGCCGAAG
rnacentral:rRNA from 1 species